CAAGUCUUACUUGCUAACAAAGGCGAACGUGGUCGCAAGAAAUUGGCGGAUAAGUGGGAAGCCACCCCAUACACAGUUGUUGCCUUGAAUCCUCAAUGUCACACCUACCGUAUACGCAACACCCACACUGGUCAAGAAAAGACUGUUCAUAGGAACUUGCUCCUUCAGGUUAACUUUCUGCCAAUUGAGGCUGAGGAAGAUGAACCCUCAUUCAGUGACGGCAGUGAACCAGCUGAUGACUGUAGCGGAGUAGCUUUGAGUGAUGCUGUAAUGCCCAUGUCUGAAAGCAGCAAUGCAGAUCGAACUGCCAGCUGGGUAGCAGGGACUGUAGCUCCAGAUGAUAACCUGAGCAGUAUAUCCUCUAAGACAAAGAGCGUCCCCCCAUUAACAGUUGAUCCUGAGUCUGCGCAAUCUGUGUUUCCAGCAACGCAGGAGGAACACUUGGAAUGUGACAGCAUUUCCAAUUCAAGUAAAGGAGGAUUGACUUGUGAUACAGUAUCUGCAUCUGUGGGAGGUUCAAUUGAUGUUGAUGUCAGACCUCUUAUCCUGUGGAUUCACUCCCUAAUCAUGUGGUGACCCAAGUCAGAACCAGAUUUGGCAGGCUUGUGAAACCUAUGAACAGGUUGAUUCAGAACAUGACCCAAAACAUGAAGACAAGCAGUUCAGUCAAUGGGGUUACCAGGUCUUUAUUGACAUAAGAUGAUGAAACUGUUACAUAGAUUAUAUUAGUGUUUCUUUUGAGGUUACUUAAUUUACAUCAAGUUGAGAAGACCAACAUUCAGAAAACCUUCAGCUUCAUUUAAAAGUAGCUGUCACAUUGAAAUCAUAGUAGUGGUGUUUGGGGCACCCUAUUCACAAGUGUUCUCUUAGUAGGCCUGAUCACCCUGCUUGGGUCACUUUCCCUGUAGGUUGGGAAGCAUAUGUUGCUGUGUUGAGUGUAUUGAAUGUCAGUUGAGUUUUUAUUCUGUGUGUGGCUUCUUGAUCAGCUAUUUAUCCGUAUUGAACAAGUUUUGUGAAGUUCAGCGGGGAGAAUGUAGCUGGUUCAAAUAUUACAUAUAUAUAUAUAUAUAUAUAUAUAUAUAUAUAUAUAUAUAAAGAAUAAUGUUAAUGAACUUCAUCAAAACUUGUUAUUUUCUUAUAUUCUCAUGUUUGUGUUCAGAGUUAUAAUGAGGCAUAACAUGCAUAAUUAAUUCGAGUAGGAACCGUUAAUGCAGAAUAUUUUAUGGGGCACAUAAUGGUGACGCACACAAUACCUCGUGCGAUGUGUGAACAGCGCCAUCUUUAGAAGCACAUUUGCUAUUGACGAGGUCGGUUGUGCUUUCUCUCGCUCUUCAAACAAGAGUGCUGCUUUUUCCAUGCUGUAUGGAUCACUGAAGGGGAGAGACGUGUAUCCCAAAAAACAUUAAUUGUGCUCUGUGUAUUUCUGCAGACCUGCUUCUUCAGAAUAAACCUUCCUGAGACCUGCUCCACCUGUAUUGUCAUCUUUGAGAGCAACAAAACACAACCAGAGUAAAAC